rnacentral:rRNA from 1 species
UCGGGAAUUUUGCGCAAUGGGGGAAACCCUGACGCAGCAAUACCGCGUGUGGGAUGAAGGCCUUCGGGUCGUAAACCACUUUUUUCGGGGACGAUAAUGACGGUACCCGAAGAAUAAGCCACGGCUAACUACGUGCCAGCAGCCGCGGUAAUACGUAGGUGGCAAGCGUUGUCCGGAUUUACUGGGCGUAAAGCGCGCGCAGGCGGUGAAUGAAGUCGAAAGUGAAAGGCCCGGGCUCAACUCGGGAAC